rnacentral:piRNA from 1 species
UGUCCUAGUCAUCUGCAUAAAGAAUGUA